UAUGUGAUCGUCUCUCGCAUAUCAAUAAGCGGAGGAAAAGAAACUAACAAGGAUUCCCCUAGUAACGGCGAGUGAAGCGGGAAGAGCUCAAAUUUGAAAUCUUAAAGGGUUUCCCUUUACGAAUUGUAGUUUAAAGAAGUGUUUUCUGUUGAGGUUUUGGUAAAAGUUCUUUGGAAUAGGACAUCAUAGAGGAGUGAGAAUCCCGUAUUUGACCUUUACUUUCAACUUUGUGAUACACUUUCAAAGAGUCGGAUUGUUUGGGAAUGCAGUCCAAAAUGGGUGGUAAAUUUCAUCUAAAGCUAAAUAUUGGCGAGAGACCGACAGCGAACAAGUACCGUGAGGGAAAGAUGAAAAGAACUUUGAAAAGAGAGUUAAACAGUACGUGAAAUUGUCAAAAGGGAAGCGUUUGACACCAGUGUUGUUUUUCUGAAAAUCAAUUAAAGAACUGUUUAUGCUAAGUUGUUUAGACUUUAUCAGCUAACUGUUUAGUUUUGAGCUUUUCUUUAAUGCACUUUUCAGUUAACAAGUCAACAUCAAUUUCUUUUGCUGUAAAAAAGCUUGAGGAAGGUGGCUUGAGAUUCGUCUUAAGUGUUUAUAGCCUCUUGCCUAUGCAGUCGGAGAGAUUGAGGUCUGCAGCGUAGAUCCUUCGGGGCUAAAUGCAUUUGUGCUGAGUUAUAGCAUUUUAUAGACAACUUGUUGACUAUGAUUUGUCUUGUAGCUUACUCGCUUAUGUUAUUUUACCUACGCUUAGGAUGUUGAAGAUAUGCGCGACACG
rnacentral:rRNA from 1 species